CCCUUAGAUGUUCUGGGCCGCACGCGCGCUACACUGGUGCAUUCAACAAGCCUAGCCUUGACCGAGAGGUCCGGGUAAUCUUUGAAACUGCAUCGUGAUGGGGCUAGAUUAUUGCAAUUAUUAAUCUUCAACGAGGAAUGCCUAGUAAGCGUGAUUCAUCAAAUCGCGUUGAUUACGUCCCUGCCCUUUGUACACACCGCCCGUCGCUCCUACCGAUUGAAUGUGUUGGUGAGGAGCUCGGAUUGGCAGCAGUUGGUGGUUCGCCACCGGCUAUUGCUGAGAAGUCCUCCAAACCGCCCCAUUUAGAGGAAGGAGAAGUCGUAACA
rnacentral:rRNA from 1 species